rnacentral:rRNA from 1 species
UACAGAGGGGGCAAGCGUUGUUCGGAAUUACUGGGCGUAAAGGGCGCGUAGGCGGCCUUCUAAGUCAGACGUGAAAUCCCUCGGCUCAACCGGGGAACUGCGUCUGAGACUGGAAGGCUUGAAUCCGGGAGAGGGAUGUGGAAUUCCAGGUGUAGCGGUGAAAUGCGUAGAUAUUGGGAGGAACACCAGUGGCGAAGGCGGCUCACUGGACCGGUACUGACGCUGAGGCGCGAAAGCGUGGGGAGCAAACAGG